rfam:Oryza rufipogon genomic scaffold, chr02
GAUAUCAACUGAAAAAGUCAUCAACAACAAAGUUGAAUAACACAUCAAGAUCUAAAACUUUUAUUUUGGUCAUUUCUUCAUACGACAAAGUGAUAGUAACAUUAUUCACAAAAUUAACAUAUCUCUUAUCUGGUUUUAUAAACUAUAACACAUAUAUGUAAAAUUUGUGAAUAAUAUUACUAACGUUUCGUCGGAUGAAGAAAUAACUGAAGUAAAAGUUUUAGAUCUCUAUGAGUUAUUCAACUUUGUUGUUCAUGACUUUUUCAAUUGAAAUC